CAGCUCCAAUACUAGAUAGUAUUAGUAAACAUAGUUUACGAAAUAGUAAAUAUAGCAGAGAGAUAGUAAAUAUUGUGGUAAUAAGGCGCUGGAGUGGACGCCCUGGCCACAAGAAUACGCGAACUGGUUCUCCAUUUCGAGUGGCGCGAGGCGCGAAACCCGGAACUGAAGCGCGAGUCACCAGUUCCGUGAGACUGUCUCACUCAGGUCUUGGUUCUUGUGUGCAGUCUCUGGUUACUAUACUGUUCUCAUUUGACCUUGGAACAUAAACAACAACCGCUGCAGCUGAAAACACGCAUGGCAUUUUCUUAAACAUCAAUCGCUGCUCACUGCGACUUCACCAGCCAGAUACCAAGUCAUCCGAAUGCGUUCCAAAUGCUGCACGAAAUGAAGCCCUAACGACGCUGCAGCCUUCUGCUCGGGCCUACAAAAUCCGGGGACUCAACUAAAUCCAUCCGGGACAUCAGAGUCGACUGAAGCGCAGGGGAGCAAUCUGUUCAGGUGGCAGAAUGGUGUGCGAGCUCUUCCUUCUGUCUUCCGUGUGGUUCCUUUUUGUCAUCUUCUGGAUGGAGACAAUCAGCGUGUGGCUCUUCCUCUGCAACUUCUACCAGGAUCGGGCUUUCUACCACUGGGGAGAUGGGGCUUUUGCUGAUGACCCAGGGCACAUGCUGUACAUGCUUGGAAGAGUGGACAGAUCCAGACCAACACAGACCUGAGCUGAGAAAAGAUAGAGACAUCAAGGCGGCGAUGAUGGAGGUGAAGUGUCGGAAAGUGGAACCCGCAGCGAUUUCCUUUCCCCCAUCUUCGCUUUUGUCAGGCAACAUGUCACAGAAAGUGAGGAGUCGGUUCAUACUUGGGAAGACAAACCAUGACCACACACACUGAUCGUGCAAAUGCCUGUAUGUGUAGAGCCAUUAAUAUGAAUAAAAACACUGGCCAUGGUAGCACUUCUGUGUAUGUAGAACUAUAAGUGUGAAAACCAGGAGUGAAUAUUCUGCUCUGUAUUUCUUUUGGAGGGGCUUUAAAUUCUGUUACUAUUCGAGUGUGUUCCACUGAUGUAUCGAUAAGUGACCCAUUGUAAGUAGCGUA